rnacentral:rRNA from 1 species
UUUUCGGAGAGUUUGAUCCUGGCUCAGAGUGAACGCUGGCGGCGUGGAUUAGGCAUGCAAGUCGUGCGAUAUUUUAGAUGGAGAGGUUGAAGCCGUAAGGUGGAUGCCAAUUUGUCUGAUUUAUAGCGGCAAACGGGUGAGUAACACGUGAGUAAUCUGCCUUUAAACCAGAGAUAGCUUCGUGAAAACGGAGGUAAUCUCUGAUAAUGUCCUUGGCAUGCAUGUGUUGAGGACUAAAGAUGGGGACCGUAAGGCCUGUCGUUUAGAGAUGAGCUCGCGUCCUAUCAGCUUGUUGGUGGGGUAAUGGCCUACCAAGGCUUUUGACGGGUAGCUAGUCUGAGAGGAUGUUUAGCCACACUGGAACUGAGACACUGUCCAGACUCCUACGGGAGGCUGCAGUCGAGAAUCUUUAGCAAUGGGCGAAAGCCUGACUAUGCGACGCCGCGUGAGGGAUGAAGGUCUUCGGGUUGUAAACCUCUUUCGAAGGGGAAGAAAAUACCGACGCGAAUACCGUCGGAGCUGACGGUACCCUGAGAAGAAGCCACGGCCAACUCCGUGCCAGCAGCCGCGGUAAUACGGAGGUGGCAAGCGUUACUCGGAUUCAUUGGGUGUAAAGGGCAGGUAGGCGGCUUAAUAAGUGGGAGGUGAAAUUCCGUUGCUCAACAGCGGAACUGCCUUCCAAACUAUUAGGCUUGAGAUUGGGAGAGGAGAAUGGAAUUCCCGGUGUAAGGGUGAAAUCUGUAGAUAUCGGGAAGAACACCAGUGGCGAAAGCGAUUCUCUAGUCCAAAUCUGACGCUGAGCUGCGAAAGCUAGGGGAGCAAACAGGAUUAGAUACCCUGGUAGUCCUAGCCGUAAACGAUGAGCACUAGGUGUCGGUUCGUAUGGAUCGGCGCCGUAGUUAACACAUUAAGUGCUCCACCUGGGGACUACGGCCGCAAGGCUAAAACUCAAAGGAAUUGACGGGGGCCCGCACAAGCGGUGGAACAUGUGGUUUAAUUCGACGAUACGCGAAGAACCUCACCAGGGUUUGACAUGCAGGAAGUAGUGAACUGAAAGGGGAACGACCUGUCAAGUCAGGAGCCUGCACAGGUGCUGCAUGGCUGUCGUCAGCUCGUGUCGUGAGAUGUUGGGUUAAGUCCCGCAACGAGCGCAACCAUUAUCUUUAGUUGCCACUUCGGCUCGCCGUAAGGUGAGACGAAAGCACUCUAAAGAGACUGCCUGCGAUAAGUAGGAGGAAGGUGGUGAUGACGUCAAGUCCGUAUGGCCUUUAUAUCCUGGGCUACACACGUGUUACAAUGGCCGGUACAGAGGGUUGCCAACCCGCGAGGGGGAGCUAAUCCCAGAAAACCGGUCUCAGUUCAGAUUGGAGUCUGAAAUUCGACUCCAUGAAGACGGAAUCGCUAGUAACGGCGGAUCAGCUACGCCGCCGUGAAUACGUUCCCGGGCCUUGUACACACCGCCCGUCAAGCGAUGGGAGCUGGGGGUACCCGAAGUUCCCCGUAAGGGGACCCAAGGUAAAACUGGUGACUGGCGCUAAGUCGUAACAAGGUAGCCGUACGGGAACGUGCGGCUGGAUCACCUCCUUU